UGCGAUGGUCAUCGGUUCGACUCCGAUAG
rnacentral:tRNA from 1 species